rnacentral:rRNA from 1 species
GAUGAACGCUAGCGGCAGGCCUAAUACAUGCAAGUCGGACGGGAUCCAUUGAUAGCUUGCUAUCAAUGGUGAGAGUGGCGCACGGGUGCGUAACGCGUGAGCAACCUGCCUCCAUCAGGGGGAUAGCCUCUCGAAAGAGAGAUUAACACCGCAUAAUAUCAACAGUUCGCAUGUUCAGUUGAUUAAAUAUUUAUAGGAUGGAGAUGGGCUCGCGUGACAUUAGCUAGUUGGUAGGGUAACGGCUUACCAAGGCGACGAUGUCUAGGGGCUCUGAGAGGAGAAUCCACCACACUGGUACUGAGACACGGACCAGACUGCGACGGGAGGCAGCAGUAAGGAAUAUUGGUCAAUGGGCGGAAGCCUGAACCAGCCAUGCCGCGUGCAGGAUGACUGCGCUAUGGGUUGUAAACUGCUUUUGUCCAGGAAUAAACCUAAAUACGAGUAUUUAGCUGAAUGUACUGGAAGAAUAAGGAGCGGCUAACUCCGUG